rnacentral:rRNA from 1 species
UGACGAGCGGCGGACGGGUGAGUAAUGCUUGGGAACAUUCCUUGAGGUGGGGGACAACAGUUGGAAACGACUGCUAAUACCGCAUAAUGUCUACGGACCAAAGGGGGCUUCGGCUCUCGCCUUUAGAUUGGCCCAAGUGGGAUUAGCUAGUUGGUGAGGUAAUGGCUCACCAAGGCGACGAUCCCUAGCUGGUUUGAGAGGAUGAUCAGCCACACUGGGACUGAGACACGGCCCAGACUCCUACGGGAGGCAGCAGUGGGGAAUAUUGCACAAUGGGCGCAAGCCUGAUGCAGCCAUGCCGCGUGUGUGAAGAAGGCCUUCGGGUUGUAAAGCACUUUCAGUCAGGAGGAAAGGUUAGUAGUUAAUACCUGCUAGCUGUGACGUUACUGACAGAAGAAGCACCGGCUAACUCCGUGCCAGCAGCCGCGGUAAUACGGAGGGUGCGAGCGUUAAUCGGAAUUACUGGGCGUAAAGCGUACGCAGGCGGUUUGUUAAGCGAGAUGUGAAAGCCCCGGGCUCAACCUGGGAACUGCAUUUCGAACUGGCAAACUAGAGUGUGAUAGAGGGUGGUAGAAUUUCAGGUGUAGCGGUGAAAUGCGUUAGAUCUGAAGGAAUACCGAUGGCGAAGGCAGCCACCUGGGUCAACACUGACGCUCAG